GCUACCUCUGAAACGUGGGAGAGCAGCUCAGUCAACAAGGCCUGCAAUUAUGUUUAUUCAAGCUGGAAAAAUGUGGAUGGGAAUGAUGGUGUGUGUCGGUGUUGUGAAAACAUCUGCCAUCAUAGAUCACUCAAAGGUGAAAACAUCUGUCAUCACAGAAGAUCACUCAAAGAUCUCACGGUUUGUGGCACUGUGACUCUUGGCCCUUUCACGAUUUUCCCCAGCUAGAGAGCAAAGAACAGAUCUGGAUCAGAAACAUUCAGUUCCUUCUUUUUCUUGGCAGGCUAACAGUUGGCAAAUUUUAUUUGUGUUUGAGAAGAUGUUCUGUAUGCCCUAAUGAUAAAAUUUCAUGAUAAA